rnacentral:misc_RNA from 1 species
GCCCGGCGAUCGUGCCAUCUUCCUCGGAGACGCCAUGCCGCGGCUCCGCCUCCUCCGGAAGUACUCAAUUGACCCCGUGGGGUGGAAGCCGGUGAUCCUCGACCGCUCAGUCGACUUCGUUCUCGCAGCCGAUGGCUUCGGCGACCCCAAUUUCAGCUUCAUCGACCGCGUCCUCCGGAUCGGAGGCGUCACCGCUGUCCGGCUGGGGUCCGACCCGUCGCAGGCGUUCAACAUGCCGCCGAAUUACCGGCUGGCGUACAUUCGACGGUUCGGCUCCACCGUCGUGGCAAUUAAGAAGAUUGCUCAUGCUGAUAUCCACUCAAAUUCACAUUUAAUGUCAUCUCUGGCUGAUCAGCCGGCUGUUAGUCGGAUGUGGAGACGGUUGUUAUCGGUGUCAGCACCACGGGCGGUGCUGGAGGGGCUGGAGGGCGCGCUGAUGGAGCCGCCGAGGGAGGGCUCGCCUGCGCCGCAGACAAUGUACUUACCGGAGCUGAUGGGAGAGGACUGGCUGGAUGGGUAUGUGAGGCGUGUGUUUGUUGAUGUUGCCACUGGGGAUGGGGAUGGUAGUGAGUGGUUUGAGAAGAAUUACCCGAAGGGGGGUCGUGAAUUUGACACUGUGAAGGUGGAGGCGGCGGCAGGGGCGGUGGCUGAUUGGUUGAAGGGAAAUGUUGUGGAGGAU